UCCUAGCCCCGAUAGUAACGGUUACCCCGCAACACAAGCUGGAAAGCCGAAGGAUUUUCGGGAUGGCAGGGUAUUGGCGUGAGGAGUAUGAGUGGAUAGCGGGAAAUAGC
rnacentral:misc_RNA from 1 species